UGUGGGAGCUGGUGGGGCAGAGGAUAUCCCUGUCCUGGGCCAGGGAGCAGGGCAGGGCAGGACGAGGCUGGGACCCAACCUCGAGACCCUUCAUCUCUUCAGGAUGAAUGUCCCAAAGCAUUUGUACAUCAGAGCACUGGGACAGCCCUCUUGGAACUUGGAAUUCAGCUUCAUGGGAGAGCUGUGGACUCACCCAUUUGCUGUUCCUCUACUCACAACCUGUUAAUCACAGCAGCCAUCAGACAGAUAGAGUCCUAUUUGUCACACCCUGGCCUGGCAAACACAAAACUAUUCCUGUAAGGUUAACAAUAGAUAAAAGAAAAAUAAACCGCAUGAUUUAGUAUGUCACUCACAAGUUGAUUACUAAAUAGUGAGAGGAGAGGGAGAGAAAAAGAUUUUAUCCUUCUAAGGGACGUUUUGCUGCUGGGAUCUCCCCCAGCCAAUCUGCUGUGCCCAUGGCAGGCAAUUCCUGCCCAGGCAGCUCAGGCUGCGUACCCGCUGUGCCCCCGGGUGUCACAAGCUGUGUUGCGUGAGGAUAACGGUGACGAUUGCAACAGCCCCAGCAGGCACCUCAGCAGCCAGGAGGGAUGAGGAGCAACCCCACCAUGCCCAUGGGUCACUGGCUGAUUGGCCAAGGGCAGAGGCGGCAGCAGGAGGAAGCCCAGCUCCCACCCACCAGCAGCGGGAUAAAAGCCUCACGUUUAGGGCAAAGCAGCACUCUCUGGCCGCAGGAGCACGUGGACACGAGGGAUUCCUCUUGGCUCUCUUUGUGCCUGAGCACCAGGACCUCCAUCAGCAGCCCCGUGAAGACCUGCUCCGGGCAUCAGCCAUGAAGAUCCUGUUCCUACUCCUCUCCUUCUUCCUCCUCUUUCUCCAGGGUGAUGCAGUCGGAAAUUCUUGGCUCUGUGUAAGAAGAGGGGGAAAUUGUCGUUUUGGGAGGUGCCAGUUUGCUGAAAGACAGAUUGGGAGAUGCUCAGCUUUCCAACCCUGCUGCGGCAGGACAUGGGGUUGAUGUGCUGAAUGCUGUGAGCAGGAUGUCCCCCUCGCUUCUCACUCCUGGAAACAGCUGCUGACGUCCUGUUCCAUGGGCCUGCUGUGGUUUGGCCACAGGCUGCUUUUCCCUGCUCAAAUAAAGGCGUGCAGUUUGGCAUUGCAGCUGC